CCUACGGGAGGCAGCAGUGAGGAAUAUUGGUCAAUGGACGAGAGUCUGAACCAGCCAAGUAGCGUGAAGGAUGACUGCCCUAUGGGUUGUAAACUUCUUUUAUAUGGGAAUAAAAUGUUCCACGUGUGGGAUUUUGUAUGUACCAUAUGAAUAAGGAUCGGCUAACUCCGUGCCAGCAGCCGCGGUAAUACGGAGGAUCCGAGCGUUAUCCGGAUUUAUUGGGGUUAAAGGGAGCGUAGGUGGAUUGUUAAGUCAGUUGUGAAAGUUUGCGGUUCAACCGUAAAAUUGCAGUUGAAACUGGCAGUCUUGAGUACAGUAGAGGUGGGCGGAAUUCGUGGUGUAGCGGUGAAAUGCUUAGAUAUCACGAAGAACUCCGAUUGCGAAGGCAGUUCACUGGACUGCAACUGACACUGAGGCUCGAAAGUGUGGGUAUCAAACAGGAUUAGAUACCCGUGUAGUC
rnacentral:rRNA from 1 species